UUGUCCUACGGGGGGCAGCAGUGGGGAAUAUUGCACAAUGGGGGAAACCCUGAUGCAGCAACGCCGCGUGAGUGAUGACGGCCUUCGGGUUGUAAAGCUCUAUCAGCAGGGAAGAAAAUGACGGUACCUGACUAAGAAGCUCCGGCUAAAUACGUGCCAGCAGCCGCGGUAAUACGUAUGGAGCAAGCGUUAUCCGGAAUUACUGGGUGUAAAGGGAGCGUAGGCGGCAAGGCAAGUCUGAUGUGAAAACCCAGGGCCCAACCCUGGGACUGCAUUGGAAACUGUAUUGCUUGAGUACCGGAGAG
rnacentral:rRNA from 1 species